rnacentral:misc_RNA from 1 species
AAGGCUUGACAUACACCGGAAAGCAUCAGAGAUGGUGCCCCCCUUGUGGUCGGUGUACAGGUGGUGCAUGGCUGUCGUCAGCUCGUGUCGUGAGAUGUUGGGUUAAGUCCCGCAACGAGCGCAACCCUUGUCCCGUGUUGCCAGCAACCUCUUCGGAGGGUUGGGGACUCACGGGAGACCGCCGGGGUCAACUCGGAGGAAGGUGGGGAUGACGUUUCCAGGUUAGG